rnacentral:rRNA from 1 species
AUGUCUACCAGCAGCAGCAACAGCAAUCCAUUCAGCUUCGCGUUGAGGGGGCUCCGAGACCGUGAGGGUGGCGAUUGUGGCAGCUACUACAGCAUCCCCGACCUAGGCGAUCAGCGAAUAGAUAAACUGCCAUACACCAUUCGUGUUCUUCUUGAAUCUGCGGUGCGUAAUUGUGACGAGUUCCAAAUAACCAAGGAGGAUGUAGAGAAGAUCAUGGGCUGGGAGAAGACCUCCCUGGAGCAAGUUGAAAUACCAUUCAAACCCUCACGUGUGAUACUUCAGGAUUUUACCGGUGUGCCUGUCCUUGUUGACUUUGCAAGCAUGCGCGACGCAAUGUUGGAAUUAGGUGGCAAUCCUGAUAAGAUUAACCCGAUGGUUCCAGCAGACCUUGUAAUUGAUCACUCAGUAACUGCUAAUGUGGUGAGGUCACAAAAUGCGAUACAGGCCAAUAUGGAACUGGAAUUCGAGAGAAACAAGGAACGGUUCGCCUUCCUUAAAUGGGGGUCUUCUGCAUUUCACAAUAUGCUUAUCAUACCUCCUGGUUCUGGUAUUGUUCAUCAGGUAAAUCUUGAGUAUCUUGCCAGAGUUGUUUUCAACAGAGAUGGCCUUCUUUAUCCCGAUAGUGUUCUGGGGACUGAUUCCCACACUACAAUGAUUAAUGGACUGGGUGUUGUUGGUUGGGGGGUUGGAGGGAUUGAUGCUGAGGCAGCUAUGCUUGGUCAGCCCAUGAGCAUGGUAUUACCUGGUGUCGUUGGAUUCAAGCUACAUGGAACACUAAGGGAUGGGGUCACAGCAACUGAUCUAGUUCUCACGGUUACCCAAAUGCUUCGGAAACAUGGUGUUGUUGGAAAGUUUGUGGAGUUCUAUGGCCGAGGUAUGGAAGAGCUUGCAUUGGCUGAUAGAACAACAAUUGCAAAUAUGGCACCAGAGUAUGGAGCAACUGUUGGUUUCUUUCCAGUUGACCAUAUCACCUUAGAAUAUCUUAAAAUGACUGGAAGAGAAGAUGAAACUGUAUCAACAAUAGAGGCAUAUCUACGUGCAAACAAAAUGUUUGUGGAUUACAAUGAACCUAAAAUAGAACCGACAUAUUCAUCAUACAUAGAAUUGGAUCUGGGAGAUGUUGAGCCAUGUAUUUCUGGUCCGAAGAGACCUCAUGAUCGAGUCACCUUAAAAGACAUGAAGACAGACUGGCAUGCAUGUCUGGAAAAUAAAAUUGGUUUCAAGGGUUAUGGUAUCCCAAAAGAUUUGCAAAAUAGAGUGGUGAAGUUUGAUUUUCAUGGGCGAACUGCAGAGCUUAAACAUGGGACUGUUGUCAUAGCUGCUAUCACAAGCUGCACAAACACCUCAAACCCCACCGUUAUGAUUGCUUCUGGGUUGGUUGCAAAGAAAGCUUACGAGUUGGGCCUCGAGGUCAAACCAUGGAUUAAAACAAGUCUUGCCCCUGGGUCAGGAGUUGUUACCAAAUAUCUGCUUAGGAGUGGUUUGCUGAAGUACUUGAGCGACCUGGGUUUCAAUCUAGUUGGGUAUGGCUGUACUACCUGUAUCGGAAAUUCAGGUGAUCUUGAUCAAAUCGUUGCAGAUGAAAUUACAGAAAAUGACAUCAUCGCGGUUGCUGUUCUUUCUGGAAACCGUAACUUUGAAGGGCGGAUACAUCCAUUAACUCAAGCUAAUUAUCUUGCUUCUCCUCCUCUAGUCGUUGUAUAUGCUCUUGCUGGCACUGUUGAUAUCAAUUUUGAAGAGGAGCCAAUUGGAACUGGAAAGGGCAACAGACCAAUUUUCCUAAGGGACAUCUGGCCAUCUAGCGAGGAAGUAUCAGAAAUUGUGCAUUCCAAUGUCUUGGUUGAUAUGUUCAAAAGUACUUAUGAGGUAAUCACGAAAGGCAAUCCCAUGUGGAAUCAACUGGUGGUUCCAACUACAGAUGUUUACUCUUGGGACCCUAAUUCAACCUACAUUCGUGAGCCUCCUUUCUUUAAAGGCAUGAGUAUGGAUCUACCUGGGCCUCAUAGUAUAAAGGAUGCCUACUGCUUGUUGAGCUUUGGUGACUGUGUAACGGCAGAUCAUAUUUCACCAGCUGGGAGCAUUCACAAGGAUAGCCCAGCUGCCAAGUAUCUCGUUGGCCAUUCUGUGAAGCACAGGGAUUUUAAUUCGUAUGGCAGCCGUCGCGGAAACUAUGAAGUAAUGAUGAGGGGAACCUUCGGCAAUAUUCGGAUUGUCAACAAGCUUUUGGACGGUGAACCUGGACCAAAAACAAUUCACAUUCCAACAAGAGAGAAGCUUUAUGUCUAUGAUGCUGCCAUGAGGUAUAAGAAUGAUGGGCAAGACACAAUUGUAUUGGUGGGUUCCAAAUAUGGGACUGGAAGUUCGAGGGACUGGGAUGCAAAAGGUACUAUGUUGCUGGGAGUUAAGGCUGUAAUUGCCAAAAGUUUCGAAAGAAUCCAUCGAAGCAAUUUAGUCGGGAUGGGUGUAAUUCCUCUAUGCUUCAAGUCUGGAGAAGAUAUGGACUCAAUUGGUUUGACUGGACAAGAACAAUACACUAUUCAUCUUCCAAGCAGUGUUCAUGAAAUGCAGCCCGGCCAGGAUAUUGUUGUUACCACAAGCACACGAAAAUCGUUUACAUGUACGCUUCGCUUUGACACAGAGGUGGAACUGUCUUACUUUGAUCAUGGGGGAAUACUACAAUAUGUUAUGCGAAAACUUAUCAAUUCAGCAUGUUAG